rnacentral:rRNA from 1 species
ACGCACGCUGGCGGCGUGCUUCACCCAUGCCAGUCGAACGGAAAGGCCCUGCUUUUGUGGGGUGCUCGCGUGGCGAACGGGUGAGUAACACGUGAGUAACCUGCCCUUGACUUUGGGAUAACUUCAGGAAACUGGGGCUAAUACCGGAUAGGAGCUCCUGCUGCAUGGUGGGGGUUGGAAAGUUUCGGCGGUUGGGGAUGGACUCGCGGCUUAUCAGCUUGUUGGUGGGGUAGUGGCUUACCAAGGCUUUGACGGGUAGCCGGCCUGAGAGGGUGACCGGCCACAUUGGGACUGAGAUACGGCCCAGACUCCUACGGGAGGCAGCAGUGGGGAAUAUUGCACAAUGGGCGGAAGCCUGAUGCAGCAACGCCGCGUGCGGGAUGACGGCCUUCGGGUUGUAAACCGCUUUCGCCUGUGACGAAGCGUGAGUGACGGUAAUGGGUAAAGAAGCACCGGCUAACUACGUG